UUUUGUUGACUCAGAAUAAYUAAGCUGGAUCGCAUGGUCUUGCACCGGGCGACGUGUCUUUCAAGUAUCUGCCUUAUCAACUUUCGAUGGUAGUGUAUCUGACUACCAUGGUGGUGACGGGUAACGGAGGAUAAAGGGUUYGACUCCGGAGAAGGGGCCUGAGAAAUGGCCACUACGUCUAAGGAUGGCAGCAGGCGCGCAAAUUACCCACUCUCAGCACACACUGAGGAGGUAGUGACGAAAAAUAACGAGACCGUUCUCUAUGAGGCCGGUCAUCGGAAUGGGUACAAUCUAAACCCUUUAACGAGUAUCUAUGAGAGGGCAAGUCUGGUGCCAGCAGCCGCGGUAAUUCCAGCUCUCAAAAUGCAUAGAAUUAUUGCUGCGGUUAAAAAGCUCGUAGUUGGAUCUGUGCUGGGACGGUGGUCCACCUUCGGGUGCGCACUACUCGCUCUCGGCUUUUUGUGUCGGUUCUGUCUCGUCGUAGCCUUCACUGGUUGCGGCGGGUGGCUGACGAUUUUACUUUGAACAAAUCAGAGUGCUUAACACAGGCGUUUCGCUUGAAUGUUCUUGCAUGGAAUAAUAGAAAAGGAUUUCGGUUCUGUUUUAUUGGUUUUACGGACUGAGAUAAUGGUUAACAGAGACAGACGGGGGCAUUCGUAUUGCUGCGUGAGAGGUGAAAUUCUUGGACCGCAGCAGGACGAACUACAGCGAAAGCAUUUGCCAAGAAUGUCUUCAUUAAUCAAGAACGAAAGUCAGAGGUUCGAAGGCGAUCAGAUACCGCCCUAGUUCUGACCGUAAACGAUGCCAACUAGCGAUCCGCCGGCGGAUAUUUCGCCCUGGUGGGGAGCUUCCCGGAAACGAAAGUCUUCCGGUUCCGGGGGAAGUAUGGUUGCAAAGCUGAAACUUAAAGGAAUUGACGGAAGGGCACCACCAGGAGUGGAGCCUGCGGCUUAAUUUGACUCAACACGGGAAAACUCACCCGGUCCGGACACCGUGAGGAUUGACAGAUUGAUAGCUUUUUCAUGAUUCGGUGGAUGGUGGUGCAUGGCCGUUCUUAGUUCGUGGAGCGAUUUGUCUGGUUUAUUCCGAUAACGAGCGAGACUCUAGCCUACUAACUAGUUCACUCAUUGCCUUUGUGGGUGCAACUUCUUAGAGGGAUUUUCGGUGUUCAGCCGCACGAGAUUGAGCAAUAACAGGUCUGUGAUGCCCUUAGAUGUCCGGGGCUGCACGCGCGCUACACUGGACGAAAUCAGCGUGCUUGUCCUUUCCCGAAAGGGAUUGGUAAACCAUUGAAAAUUCGCCGUGAUUGGGAUCGGAAAUUGCAAUUAUUUUCCGUGAACGAGGAAUUCCAAGUAAGUGCGAGUCAUCAACUCGCGUUGAUUACGUCCCUGCCCUU
rnacentral:rRNA from 1 species